UUGGCUAAUAAAAACGAAAUAUUUUCACGAUGAAAUUGAUAGUUAACAUACACAAAAUUUUACAUGGAGAAGAAUGCAAAUGUAUCCACGGAAAUGGGGAGGUCUUGUUAUAGAGUUUCAUCAAACAGUAAAAAAUAUGAUAGUAUCUUCAUAGUAUCACGGUCUUUAUGCAAAUUAAUUGAUAUUAUCAAAUUAAUUGGAUCAACUCAUUCUUAUAUUAGAGGAAUAGAAAAGUGAACGAAGUAACACAGUAAAACCUAU